AUUGAACGCUGGCGGCAUGCCUUACACAUGCAAGUCGAACGGCAGCACGGGUGCUUGCACCUGGUGGCGAGUGGCGAACGGGUGAGUAAUAUAUCGGAACGUACCUUAUCGUGGGGGAUAACGCAGCGAAAGCUGCGCUAAUACCGCAUACGCCCUGAGGGGGAAAGCGGGGGACCGUAAGGCCUCGCGCGAUUAGAGCGGCCGAUAUCUGAUUAGCUUGUUGGUGGGUAAAGCCCACCAAGGCGACGAUCAGUAGCUGGUCUGAGAGGACGAUCAGCCACACUGGGACUGAGACACGGCCCAGACUCCUACGGGAGGCAGCAGUGGGGAAUUUUGGACAAUGGGGGGCAACCCUGAUCCAGCAAUGCCGCGUGAGUGAAGAAGGCCUUCGGGUUGUAAAGGCUCUUUGUUCAGGGAAGAAAAGGACUUGUGCUAAUAUCACAAGCUGCUGACGGUACCUGAAGAAUAAGCACCGGCUAACUACGUG
rnacentral:rRNA from 1 species